AUCGCUUCUUGACCUUUUGGCUAAGAUCAAGUGUAGUAUCUCUUCUUAUAAGUUUAAUAUCUGAUACGUCCUCUAUCCGAGGACAAUAUAUUAAAUGGAUUUUUGGAGCAGGGAGAUGGAAUUAGGAGCUUGCUCCGUCCACUCCAUGCAUCGACCUGGUUUUGCAGUACUUCCGGGAACGGUGCACCUAAA